rnacentral:rRNA from 1 species
UACGAGGGGGGCGAGCGUUGUUCGGAAUUAUUGGGCGUAAAGGGUGCGUAGGCGGUUCCGCAAGUCCUGUGUGAAAUCUUCGGGCUCAACUCGAAGUCUGCACGGGAAACUGCGGGGCUUGAGUGUGGGAGAGGUGAGUGGAAUUCCCGGUGUAGCGGUGGAAUGCGUAGAUAUCGGGAGGAACACCUGUGGCGAAAGCGGCUCACUGGACCAUAACUGACGCUGAUGCACGAAAGCUGGGGGAGCAAACAGG